rnacentral:rRNA from 1 species
UACGGAGGAUCCAAGCGUUAUCCGGAAUUACUGGGCGUAAAGAGUUGCGUAGGUGGCAAAGUAUGUCUGUAGUGAAAGCGUGGGGCUCAACCCUAUACACAUUAUAGAAACUGCUUGGCUAGAGGACGAGAGAGGUUAUUGGAAUUCCCAGUGUAGGAGUGAAAUCCGUAGAUAUUGGGAGGAACACCGAUGGCGUAGGCAGAUAACUGGCUCGUUCCUGACACUAAGGGCACGAAAGCGUGGGGAGCAAACGGGG